GUUAUACGUGGAAGACUUCGCUGAACACAAAUAUUAAUGUUGCAAAACAGUAAAAUGUAUUACAACGAUUAUAUCAUCAGUGAAAGUGACGUUUUUUGCAAUUUUCCCACACAAACGGCACUUACACUGUUGAUAUAAUUGUUGUUAUACAGUUUGCGGUUUUGAAACACUAAUAUUUGUGUUCAGCGAAGUCUCCCGAGUAUAAC